rnacentral:tRNA from 1 species
CGGAAUAUAGUUCAGCUUGGUAGAACGCUAGCUUCGGGAGUUAGAGGUCAUGAGUUCGAAUCUCAUUAUUCCGACCA